AGAGGCCUCGCCUGGCAGCUCCUGGAGGCAGGGGCUGCCUGGGGUGGUACAGCCUGGCCGACUGCCGGCUCCUGGCGCCAUCUCCCGAGCGGGCUGUCCAGGGCCCAGCUGGUGACAAAGGACCCAGUGCGAGCCCCGGUUUGGUCAAGGGCUGGAUUCCAAGCCGCCACUUAGGCCUCCAACCUCACACUGGUCGUAGCUACGUAGAGAUCAUCUCGUUUCUUUACCAUGAAGUGGGGCCGAUUAUGGUCACCAAGCUAGGUUAAGAAGCAUGAAAGAGAAUAUAUGGAAAGUAACUAGCACAGGGUCCGAAAUGCAAUGAACAAUUGAACAUGGAAAUCUUAAAAACACUAUUUAGCAGCAAAAAAGAAAGAAAGAAAGAGAGAAAGAAAUACUUAGGGAUAAAUUUGACCAAAUAUGUGAAAGACAUAUGAACUGAAAAGUACAAAACCUUGUGAGAGAAAUUGAAGAUCUAAAUACAGACAUAUAUCAUGUUCAUGGAUCAGAAGAUUCAAUAUUUUUAAGAUGUCAUUUACCUCUGAAUUGAUUUGUGGAUUUAAAGCAAGAUCAAUAAAAAUCAAAGCAGAUUCUUUCUGUGGAAAUUACCAAGCUGAUUCUAAAAUUUAUGUGCAAGUGCAGAAGACGGAGAGUAGCCAAAACUUGAUCAAAAAAAAAAGUUGAGGGACUUAUACUACCUGAUUUCAAGACAUUAUAAGAGCCACUGUAAUCAACCUAGCGUGGGAUUGUUACCAAACCAAAGAAAUGAGACCACAGAGAAUCACUUCCAAAGCCAUGGAUCCCCGAGCAAAAGAAGACAGGUGCUUUUUAUUCCGGAUGGGGAAUGAAUAUUCAAAAGGGAAGUUUCAUACUCCAUGUAGAGAUGAGGAAAUUAAGUGAGACGCAGAGAUGGGAAGUGAUUCACCUAAGUACUGCAGAGCAAGUUCGCUAAACUGGAUAUUACUAAAUUCUUCUCAAUGGGAGCAAUCAUCAGCAGUAAUGUAUGAAAGUUCUCAUUACUCUGCACCUGGAUUAAAAGAAUAUGUUGUCAUAUUCUUGGAUGUGGGCCAAUCUGAUGGAAGUGGUAUACCAGAGGUGAGAACUCAUCUGAAGGGAAAAAGAAGUCAGGCUAUUGUGAAUGACUGUGUAAUAAAGCCUUAUCGUUGGAUGUGGAAUGGACUGGAGUGAGGUGAUUUUGACUGAUUUUGUCCAUGAACCAAUUCCCAUAGAAUCACGUCUAAGUCACGGAUUCGUAGAGGGUUUUUAAUAAAAACUACAAAAGCUGUCUGCACUAAAAAGACAGUAUAUUAGGUUAUGGUAAGUACUGCUUUGGCUCAUUUCUAAUGGAGUUUUUCACAAAUGGAGACAGAAGCUCUAAUUCUCCACUGGUCCCACACUAGGGUUGCUAGGUAAAAUACAGGAUGCCCAGUUAAGUUUGAAAUUCAAGUAAACAACAAAUAACUUUUGAGUAUAAGUGUGCCCCAAAUACUACUUCAUACAAUAUAUGGGACAUACUUAAUCUAAAAUAUUACCUGUUGUUUACCUGAAAUUCAAAUUUAAGUGGUAUCCUUGGUAUCCUGGUGUUUGUUUUGCUAAAUCCAGCAAGCCUAUCUUGACAUAUUCCUUAGCUUUGGUACUUCAAGGAUUCCAGUGCAUCCUCGUGUCAGACAACAGCAACUGCAAUAACACCUGGCGGAGAUGGCAGUGCCUGCACAAUUUUGUGUUUGUUGGAGGAAAAGGCAGCAGUCUCUAGGAGACAAAGCAUCUAGAGAAGUAGCAUCAUUACUUGAUGAGUAGAACUAGGAUACUACCAGGGAAGCAGCAGCAGAGACUGGAAAAGUCAGUGGUGCCUUGUGGGUGUGGCAGGUCCCAGAGGAUAUAUAAACAGUACUUUGUAAGGGCAGUGGUACCUGGUAGAUAUGGUGAUAUCUAAAGGAAAUAGUCAUGGCACUUGGUGGGAAAAGAAACAAGCAGAAGUGGGCAGCAUGCCUAGUGGAAGAUAUGCUAGUAUUCAUGGGAGUGGAAUUAGACCAAAAGCAGUGGGAAAAAACUUAAUGCUGUAUUGUAGGCGAUCACACUUGCUUGUGAGAACAUUUGAGUCACCUGCUUCUGGGUAAACCUGGGGGGGGGGGGGUUGCUUUUUUUCAAGAAGGAAGAUCCUGCCUUAGAUCCAGAAAAAUGCACGUUACAUUGGUGCUUCCCAAGCUGUCACUCUGAGAAAGGAGGAAAAAGGAAGUAUAUAGAUAGUGUGACAAGGAUAAUUAGCUCUGUCCCCACCUAUACUUUAUUGAUAUCAGCCAGUAACCCUCAGUGCAGGACUCUCCCUGGAACCUGCAAAGGGCUUACGCCUAAAGGCAAAAGUAGUUUCCAGAAAGAGAAGGAUGUAACAGGAGCCCCAACUUCACUUAUCUAACUACGCAUAUAGAUUGGAAGUGAUGGAUGAGGAUGGCUACUGUGCCUCUAGGGACCAGGCCUUGCCAGGUUCUGAGGCAGGAAGCAAACAAUUGAGUGCCAUGAAUGGAUACUGGGCUUUAAGGCAGAAUAAAUUUCACCCACCAGUAAAACAUGGCCGAGUAGAGGUCCUGGCUUUAUCAAUCAGGUUAGCAACUCCUCUUCCCAUGAGGGGGUAUUAGAAAGGGGGUAUGUAGAGGUUGGGAGCAAGGAUGGGAAUAUUCUCUUGCUUACAGUAAAGUUUGAAGUGUCCCCCAGCUCUGGUUGCCACCACAUGACUUUUUCCCUCCAUUCAGAUGCAGGCCACUCAGCUUACUCACUGAACUAUUAUUGCGCCAUUUUGACUGAGGAUCUUAGUACUUUGAUCUGCUUGCAUUCGGAUUGCAGACACAGGGCAAGACUCCCUGCAGACAAAGCCAUGUUUUAGUCCAGAUUGGGAUCAGGUUUGCAGCUUGCCUCUGCCCAGACACCCGUCAAUACCUAUGGUAAGUUUACAUCAUCUCUGAUGUCUCCUGGUGGUGUAUACCUCAUCCCACUCUCCAGAUUUACAACCCAAACAUAUUUUCCAUGCUGGAUCUUCAGAUUUAGAUAUCUCCUCCCCAUAACUCUGCUACAUAGAAGUUUCUGUUAUAUUCUUUUUGAAAAUCUACUAAUGGAGAAAAUACAACAUAAUUUUAAGAUAUUUUGUUAUGAUAUGUAGUUUUAUGCAGUUUUGUAACAUCUAAAUCUUUGUUACUAGUGUUAUUAUUUAUGAUAUUGACUUUUGCUGAAAUGGUAAUCUUCAUAGAUAAAAGACUAUACACAAUGGAGUAUUCUAUUAGACCUUUUGGUAUUCACAGAGAUUUUACUUUCAAGUGACUUUGUCUUUUCUUGAUUUUAGAAAAAUGUCUUCAACUUAGCUCAAGACAAAACCCAAACAAAAUAAAAACAACAGUUGGUGUAGUAGAAAAUAAAAGUCUGAAAAUGUCCCCAAACUGUUCUAGUUUCUAGAAAAUGACAGUAUUUAGUAUGCAGAAUUCCAGAUUCUCAAGAAAGCAUCAUAGACUUCAAAGACUAAAAUAAAAAUCUAGCGAUCAAGGGACCAACUUUUUGCCAAUAAUUAGUGGCUUUGUGGUUGCUGAGGGAGCUCAACUUUCUUUGACUUGAUCGCAGUCCAAAACACAGUUUCCGUGUUAAAAUAAAUAUUAAUUAUGAGAUUGCUCACAGAGGUGAGUCAAUGGCCAACUCAGAGAGUAAAGUUCAAAUCCAAUAGCCUGUACGCAUUCUUCUGGCUUGUUCACAACUGCAUUCUAAACUGAAAGAAAGUCAUCAGGAAGGACAGUAUUUAGGUGGACAGGAACAAUUGGCCCUGUAUUGAAUGAUCUUAACACUCAGCACAGAUAGCUGAAUAAAGAUUUGACUUGGAACUCAUCAAAUCCCAAAGAAUGUAUGCAUUCAUUCAUUCAACAAUAUUUACUGAGGGCCAACUAUAUGUUUGCUGUUUUUGCGUAUACUACACAAAUGCUAAGGAUGAAAGAAAAAAUAAAAUAUGUACACCACUGUGGAAUAAUAGAAAAUAUAUAUAUAUAUAUUGGUCUUUGCCCUUGAAUUCCAGCACAGAACUCCUAAACCCUUGUAAUUUCCUAAGUGAUAAGAGCACGAGGAGCAUCUUUUGUUCUAAUAUUUAGUUUUUGACCUCGGUUCCCGACACAGAGUUCCUAAAUCCCCUGGAAUUUCCUGCGUGAUAGCUGCGCCUUUUGUUCUAAUGAGGUGAUUCUUGCUGGGCUCCUAGAUGGGUGCUGGUCACCAGAAAGACCAAGCCAUGAUUAAAAGCUUGGACCUUUCAGCCCCAACCCGAUUUUCUAGAGAUGGGGGAGGGGCUGGAAAUGGAGUUAAUGAUCCAACAUGCACUUCCUGGGGAAUAUACAUAGAGGAGAGUGCUCCCAGAUGAUUUUAUUUUAAUUAACUAAUUGAUUAUUCUAAAAG